ACACACACACACACACUGCCUCUUCCCUGUGUCAUCCAUCACUGUCACAUUCAGGGAUUUUGCUACAGUAGGGGGUAGAGACAGCCGUGGACUCAGGGUACUGCAAUCAGCAUCAGCACCAGUACAGUGGCGUGGGGCUACUUCCUGUGGAGAAGAUGGUUCCUCUAAAGGACCUUCCCUUCUCUUUACCUCCCUCUCUCCCUCUCUUCCUCCCUAUCUCCAUCCUUUCCUGCUCCCUCCCACCUUUCUCUUAGGUUCAGGAAGCACUGUUCACUUUCCCAGCAGUGCCCUAGUCCCCAAGACACCACCACCAACAAAGGCAGACUGGUUCUGUGCCCUUCCCGGACUAUUGCUGAUGAGACAGCGCUGGAGCCAAGAGCUGAAGAGAUAAGGACGUCUUGGGUACCUUUCCCUGGAAAACAAGAAUUUGUCACGAUCACUGUGCUGUGAUUGGAUGUACCCUGCAGCUGCGGUCUCAGAAAGUAUCAUUUCUUCCUGUCUGGAUUUAUGACAGUGCAUCCUUUCUCAAGGCUAUCUCCUGUCCACCCACCAUCUCCUUGACCUGCUCCCCCUCCAGGAGAGCAUCAGACAGGACUCUUCUCCCCCGCCUUGAUGAAUAAAGGGGGUCCAGGG